UACGUAGGGCGCGAGCGUUGUCCGGAAUUAUUGGGCGUAAAGAGCUCGUAGGCGGUGUGUCACGUCGGCCGUGAAAACCUGCAGCUUAACUGUGGGCGUGCGGUCGAUACGGGCAUCACUGGAGUUCGGCAGGGGAGACUGGAAUUCCUGGUGUAGCGGUGAAAUGCGCAGAUAUCAGGAGGAACACCGGUGGCGAAGGCGACUUCCUGGCCUGUUCUUGACGCUGAGGCGCGAAAGCUAGGGUAGCAAACGGG
rnacentral:rRNA from 1 species